rnacentral:rRNA from 1 species
AACCGUAGUAAUUCUAGGGCUAAUACGUGCGAAGCGCCCGAAGCCGCGAGGCGACGGGCGUUCUCGCCGGAUGUAGGAACCGACCCGGGGACCGCCGGGGCAACCCGGCGCCCCCGAGACGGGGCGAACCACGGUGAAAAUGACGGAUCGUCGGCCCCGCGCCGGCGACUCGCCGAAUGAGUUUUCUGACCUAUCAACUCGAGACGGCGGGGUAGAGGCCCGCCGCGGUAACGACGGGGUAACGGGGGAAUCAGGGUUCGAUUCCGGAGAGGGGAGCCCCGAGAAAACGGCUACCACUUCCAAGGAAGGCAGCAGGCGCGCAACUUACCCUAAUCUCGAUUCGAGGAGGUAGUGACAAGAAAAUACCGAUGCGGGGACCCCUACGGGGUGCCGCGUUCGGAAUGAGUACGAUUCGAACCACCUAACGAGGAACGAUCGGAGGGCAAGUCUGGUGCCAGCAGCCGCGGUAAUUCCUAGCUCCAAUAGCGUACGUUAAAGUU